UAGAGAUCAGACUGUAGAGCUCAGGGUCAGAUCAGGACCAUCGGUGGACAGGAGACUAUCGCGAGCAGAACUGACAACCAGCGAAUCAACGAAAACAGACGUGAGAUGAAUACACUGUGGCUGCCUCUUCUUCUGAGCUCCGUCAUAUUGGCAGAGGAGCAGUAUUUUCCUCAGUUACCCAAUGCCACAUGGGCCGAGGCCAGACACUACUGUCAGGCCUGUUUUAUGGAACUGACGACCAUCACCUGCAGUAACGUCCGUC